rnacentral:lncRNA from 1 species
GGGCGGGCAUGCGCCACAGCCGUCGGCGCCUGCGCAGGCGCGAGCGGGCGGGGCGGAGGCUCUUUGUACAGCUGGAGAGCUGGUGCUUUGCAGCAUCAGAGCCACGACGCAAGGGCCCUGGGACAGAGAUUCUGCUUAGUCCUUUCAUGCUGUGGAGCAGAAGGGAGACCGGCCCCACCGCCAGCGCCCUGUCAAGGGGCUGCUAACAAAUACUGCUGUGCUAGUGGUAAUGGCUGUCAUAACUAAGUGCAGCAGGAGCAACUGAUUUCUAAAUCAUGGAUGAUUUGAGCAUUGCUCAGGGUUUGGGCACUGUUAAAAGUGCAAGGUGUUUUCCCUUCUUGCAGUCAGGAAGUUCUGUCGUUACACCCAGCUCCUGCAGCCCAGGAAACUUGGAAAAAAUGCAGUUGUGCCAGGAAAAAGAUCGUUGUAAUGGAAUAGCUGAAACAAUGCCAGCAAGGACGUACAGCUUUACCUGUCCCAGAGGAGUUACAUAG